UGGGGAAUUUUGGACAAUGGGCGAAAGCCUGAUCCAGCAAUGCCGCGUGUGUGAAGAAGGCAUUCGGGUUGUAAAGCACUUUUGUCCGGAAAGAAAACGCCGUGGUUAAUACCCGUGGCGGAUGACGGUACCGGAAGAAUAAGCACCGGCUAACUACGUGCCAGCAGCCGCGGUAAUACGUAGGGUGCAAGCGUUAAUCGGAAUUACUGGGCGUAAAGCGUGCGCAGGCGGUCCGCUAAGACAGAUGUGAAAUCCCCGGGCUUAACCUGGGAACUGCAUUGGUGACUGGCGGGAUAGAGUAUGGCAGAGGGGGGUAGAAUUCCACGUGUAGCAGUGAAAUGCGUAGAGAUGUGGAGGAAUACCGAUGGCGAAGGCAGCCCCCUGGGCCAAUACUGACGCUCAUGCACGAAAGCGUGGGGAGCAAACAGG
rnacentral:rRNA from 1 species